UAAAUUUAUAACUAAAUAAUUCUAAUUCAUUAUUUAUUAUUAGUUUAAAUAAAUAUUUGUGAUGUAAAUGUAAGUUGUUAAUGAAAGUUUAGUGAUAAAUUAACUGCAUAAUGACCAUGAGUAGAAGAGAUAGGAGCCGCGACCGAGACCGCAGAAGGGACCGCAGCAGAUCUCGUGAACGUUAUGGGGGUGCUGGUACUAGAAAAACCGGCAAUCCUGGUGCAUGCCUUCGAAAACCAAAGUGGGACCUUUCCCGGCUGGAGCCCUUCAAAAAAGAUUUUUACACUCCACAUCCAAAUGUCAAAAAUCGAUCAGAAUCAGAAAUAGAACAAUGGAGAUUAGAUAAAGAUAUUACAUUAAAAGGAAGGGACAUUCCUGCUCCUGUUUUAACUUUUGACGAAGCUAAUUUUCCUGAAUAUGUUAUGUCGGAAAUUGACAAAGUUGGAUUUGAUAAACCAACAGCUAUACAAGCCCAAGGAUGGCCAAUUGCUUUGAGUGGCCGGGACAUGGUAGGAAUAGCUAAAACAGGAUCCGGCAAAACUUUAUCAUAUACUUUACCAGCAAUAGUGCACAUAAACCAUCAACCAAAAUUACAAAGAGGAGAUGGACCAAUUGCUUUAAUUUUGGCUCCUACAAGAGAAUUGGCACAACAAAUCCAACAAGUUGCAACAGAUUUUGGUAGAAGUUCUCACAUAAGAAACACUUGUAUAUUUGGGGGGGCUCCUAAGGGACCUCAGGCUGCUGAUUUAAUGGAUGGGGUUGAAAUUGUCAUCGCCACUCCUGGCCGACUCUUGGAUUUUUUGGAAACCAAUCGUACUAACCUGAAAAGAUGCACUUACCUUGUACUAGACGAAGCCGACAGAAUGUUGGACAUGGGCUUUGAGCCUCAAAUUCGUAAAAUUAUUGAACAAAUAAGGCCAGACCGACAAACUCUCAUGUGGAGUGCUACUUGGCCUAAGGAAGUAAUGAAUUUGGCCCAAGAGUUCCUCAGAGACUACACACAAAUCAACGUUGGUUCUUUGCAACUGGCAGCUAACCAUAAUAUAUUGCAAAUUAUUGAUGUUUGUCAGGAAUAUGAAAAGGAAACUAAACUUAGUACUUUACUUAAGGAGAUCAUGGCUGAGAAAGAGAAUAAGACUAUAAUUUUUAUUGAGACUAAAAGAAGGGUUGAUGAUAUUACGAGGAAAAUGAAACGUGACGGAUGGCCCGCUGUGUGUAUACAUGGUGAUAAGUCACAAAAUGAAAGGGAUUGGGUAUUACAAGACUUUAGAUCUGGCAAAGCACCUGUGUUAGUGGCAACUGAUGUUGCAGCUCGAGGAUUAGAGGCACAACCUCGGGCGAGCUAUUUGAAUCGCAUUGACCAAAUGAGAAACGAAUUUUAUAUAAGCAUAAGUGUGAGGCACCGCCAAUUGUCUGUGUCAGUCAGUCAGUAGUUGUUAAAAGUGGCUCCUACUACUGCCUCUUCUUCUUCCGUCUACAAGUGACUGGAAUCGUGUACGUGUACGUGUGCCCCCUUAUGCUAGACUGAAUAAAAUUUGUCGAAUGCAUUUUGGUCAAAAAGAUUCGUUCGCUGCCUCUGUGUGCCUCGACAGAACGGAUAAUGUUUGUCUGUGCAGUGUGCACGACUACUGCUAACUGUCGUGCCCCCAUGCCAUCAUGUGGAAGAUGUUAAAUUUGUGAUAAACUUUGACUAUCCAAACAACUCGGAGGAUUACGUUCAUCGUAUAGGCAGAACAGGA